rnacentral:lncRNA from 1 species
CCGAGCCCGAAAUACAAUAUAUUAUUAAAAAUAAUUAAAAACAAGAAAAUAUAAGUUUAGGCGGGUCGCGACAACCCUCACCCUUAGUUUACGCGGGCGGUUUAAAGGUUAAACCCGAUUCCUUUGAGUUUUUAAGUCUAGGCGGGCCGCGUAAGCUACCCGUUAAGUUCACGCGGGCCGCGUGGGAUCAAAAAGGUGGCGCAGCCCGGUGAUGACACGUGUCAUCAUCGUGGCGAGCCUAGUAGAUGACCCGGACAAGCUACGCUAUUGACCAGCAUUGACGCGGGCCGCGUAGGCCUUUGCCUACAUUUACGCGGGCUGCGAGAGGACCAGAAACCAGCACUAUAUAUAGAGGGCAUCGGAUCUUCAUUCGAAUUCGUUCAAAAUCGAUUUCCUUUCUCUCAAUUCUGAAUAGUGGAAAUAAUACUCGGGUAUAAUACCCCCUAAUUAGCGAAGCUCUGCCCCGUUGUAAGUAUCAUAACCCCUGGAUACGUAUUAGAUACUCUGCCCGAUUGAUCUAGGGUUCCGUAACGGCUGUCGUGGUUCUACCUGACGUAGUCGUUGGAAUGUCAUUAUAACCAGGAAAUCACAAAGGAAAGCCCUAUAAUAGCAAUAUAACUUAGUGUGAAGCCAAUAAAAGCCAGCUGGAGAGCAUUGAAAGGUUGGAAAAGUGGCUAUAAAGUUACCUAAAAUAAAAUAGAUGUUUUAUUAAAUAAAAUAGGAUUUAUUCCUAUGAAAAUGUGUGUACUGCAAAACUUGGGUUUUAUCCCAUGUGUUUAAUAUUAUGAAAAUAUGGUGGUUUUACUCUGAUAAAAUAUU